rnacentral:rRNA from 1 species
AGAGUUUGAUCCUGGCUCAGGACGAACGCUGGCGGCGUGCCUAACACAUGCAAGUCGAGCGGAGACAGUGAGUAGCUUGCUACGAACUGUUUUAGCGGCGGACGGGUGAGUAACGCGUGAGCAACCUUUCCCAGACAGGGGAAUAACACACCGAAAGGUGUACUAAUACCGCAUAAGACCACGGAAUCACAUGGUUCUGGGGUAAAAGAUUUAUCGGUUUGGGGUGGGCUCGCGUCCGAUUAGGUAGUUGGUGAGGUAACGGCCCACCAAGCCGACGAUCGGUAGCCGACCUGAGAGGGUGAUCGGCCACAUUGGGACUGAGACACGGCCCAAACUCCUACGGGAGGCAGCAGUGGGGAAUAUUGCACAAUGGGGGAAACCCUGAUGCAGCGACGCCGCGUGAGCGAAGAAGUAUUUCGGUAUGUAAAGCUCUAUCAGCAGGGAAGAAAAUGACGGUACCUGACUAAGAAGCCCCGGCUAACUACGUGCCAGCAGCCGCGGUAAUACGUAGGGGGCAAGCGUUGUCCGGAAUAAUUGGGCGUAAAGGGCGCGUAGGCGGCUCGGUAAGUCUGGAGUGAAAGUCCUGCUUUUAAGGUGGGAAUUGCUUUGGAUACUGUCGGGCUUGAGUGCAGGAGAGGUUAGUGGAAUUCCCAGUGUAGCGGUGAAAUGCGUAGAGAUUGGGAGGAACACCAGUGGCGAAGGCGACUAACUGGACUGUAACUGACGCUGAGGCGCGAAAGUGUGGGGAGCAAACAGGAUUAGAUACCCUGGUAGUCCACACUGUAAACGAUGAAUGCUAGGUGUAGGGGGUAUCGACCCCUUCUGUGCCGCAGUCAACACAAUAAGCAUUCCGCCUGGGGAGUACGGCCGCAAGGUUGAAACUCAAAGGAAUUGACGGGGGCCCG